UACGAAGGUCCCGAGCGUUAUUCGGAAUCACUGGGCGUAAAGGGAGCGUAGGCGGCGCGGUAAGUCAGAUGUGAAAUCUGGAGGCUCAACCUCCAAACUGCAUUCGAUACUGCCGUGCUAGAGUAAUGGAGAGGUAACUGGAAUUCUCGGUGUAGCAGUGAAAUGCGUAGAUAUCGAGAGGAAGACCAAUGGCGAAAGCA
rnacentral:rRNA from 1 species